UCUACAGAGGGAGUUCCAGGACAGCCAGGGCUACGUAGAGACCCUGUUUUCUCUAGGAAGGCCUGUCUUCAGUCCUGAAACUAACAAAAUAAAGAAAUAAAUGAUAAUAAAAAAAUAAGGGAGAGAAUAAAAUACCCAAGUAUAUAUAAAUUUUUAAACGUCAACAAAACGUUACAGAAACUCUACCCAACAGAGUCCACAUGGAAAAGUUACUGCACUGUUUCAAAAAUAUUUACAGCUUCCCCCUGUCCAGGCCACCCAGAGAGAUAGGGUGGCUUGUGGUGCGAGGCAGGGGCCAGGAACGCCUGCUCACUGUCUGCCAGCCCACCUCGGGGAGGUACACCGGAGUCUCUCCGUUAGUUCUGGCUCCAGGAAAGUGGCCGCCCGAGAAUGACUUCCACUCAAGACAUCCUCCUUGGGAAAACACUCUUCCCUGUCUCCGAAGAAAGAAAAAAAAGCAAGCGGCUGUUGUGAGCACUGAGGAUGGGGAGGGGCUGGCAAUAACUCUAGCAGUCAUCCACACCCUUGCCAGUUGGUGGUUACCAAGAUCCCAGACACUUCCUAAUACCAGACAAAUGCCCCAAGCCUCGGCACGUCUGGCUUGAAGAUCUAUUCAACUGAUAGCGCCCGCCUUUUCUAGGGAGAGCCCCACUACCCGGCUAAUCAAACAAAACAUUGUUCUCAGAUGGCAGGAAGAAAGGAAAGGCUUGUUCUCUGGGCCACGAUGUUUGGGGUUUAUUUAAUACACACACACACACACACACACACACACACACACACACACACACACACACACUCCCAAUUAAAAGGUUGUUACAAAACCUGGGCUUCCCGAGACAGAGGUUGUUUUGCACAGCGCGAGCACUGUAUAAAAAUUCCGGGAGGGGGAGGGAAGGGGGGGAAUCAGAAAGUUAAGUGCCAUUAAACAGAGAAAGAAGAAGAAAAAGCCCCAGGCAUUUGAUGCCUGGAACUGAUGUAAGACGCAGCCACUCCUCUGUUAGACGUACAACCGAACAGCGCUCAGAACCGCAGCAGCUGCUCUCCAAAUGUCUGCGCUGGCGCCGGGCAAAGCCUGCAACCCACCGGGCUUCAGGAGGGCUUUUCUCAUCCACAUCUUUCCCCGAGCACUCUUAGGAACCUGGCAACAGAUGCCGAUUCUCAGCCAUUUGGCUGACCCUAUAUAUUUUUUUCCUGGCCGGAUCGAGAGAAAGACGUUCACCAAGGAGGUAUGAAGAGCGCAGCCAAGCAUUCUUGUCCUUCUCACCCAUGGAUGACACGGCGGAUCCUAGACCAGAAACCCUCGUCUUUCCAAGGGAAAAGUGUCCUGUCAUCUGGCCUGGCCUCCGCAGUCCCUCGGUCCUGAUCACCACCGGCCCUGAGGAUGACUAGUCACUUUACCUGCUGUGUCAUUGACAGCUGAGGACACAUCUAAGAAACUGUCCCAGCGUCCCCCAGGGCUCGUUCCCACUACAGUCACCCUGGGGUGUAGCUCAGUCGUAGAGCGCACACCUGGCGAGCAGAGGGCUGUAUUUCAAGCAUGGAGACAAAGGUCAGGAGGCACUGGUGAGUGCUUGUCAUCUGCCAAAUUUCAGUUAAAAUCCUUUUGAAGUUAAGAUUAAAACUGGUAUCAUGUUACUUCAA